UUUGAGCCCAAAGACUACUACGCGCUAGUCGACCUCAAAACACUAAGAAUGGUGCUUGUUCUUGAGAUUAAUUCAGAAAACGAUGUAAACAGAUUAAUAGACGGAAAAAAAAACUUCGUAAGAGAGUUGUUUGCGGAAAUUUUGUCGCUUUUAUAUUUGCUUUUAUACUCCCAGGCAUGCUCAGACAGGUGUCCGAUUUAGUUUCCGAGAAUGAACCCGCGGAAAUGUGACUGGUUUCUCGGAAAUAUAAAUGAGUUACGAAGUGUAAUUUAAAUUUAAAAAACAUAUUCUUCGACGUUGUUCUUAUUGUCGAUCUAAUUACAGAGAGCUAGUGGACAGCGCAGCUUAUUUUUGGAAGAAUCGUUGAUGCUCAGAGCAAUAUAAAGGCAUGUAGUGAGACGAAAACCUCGACAAGUGAAGCAACCUUAUGAAACUGAACAAGGAUUUCAUUGGUCUUUGAUAUCCGAGAUUCUAUAAGAGCUUCAUCUUUCAGCGGUGAAGUGAAGUUAUUCACUAUGGCCGAAGGCGGUGGAGGAUUUAGGUCAACUUGGGAGAAAAGUGAGGAGAUGGCAACACUUAUGGCGUCAAUGGCGGGCUUUUUUAACGUAAAAGGACUAGGUCUAAGGGCGAUCGCGGACCAACACUUCCUGGAAAAAGAGUAUGAAGUGGCAGCUUCUUUGUAUUCAAUGGCACUCAAGUGUCCAAUUAAUAAUAUACCUUUGGAAGAAGCCUACACUAUCGCAGAACAAAUUUAUCGCCAGAGAGACGAGUGUUUCAAAUACAU